AUAAAAAACCAAUGCCCUCUGGGCUCCUUGGUGAUUCAUAAUAACUUAACGAAUCGCAUGGCCUUGCGCCGGCGAUGGUUCAUUCAAAUUUCUGCCCUAUCAAUUUUCGAUGGUAGAGUAGUGGUCUACCAUGAUCUUAACGGGUAACGGGGAAUUAGGGUUCUAUUCCGGAGAAGGAGCCUGAGAAACGGCUACUACAUCCAAGGAAGGCAGCAGGCGCGCAAAUUACCCAAUGCUAAUUCAGCGAGGUAGUGACAAUAAAUACUGAUACGGGGCUCUUUCGGGUCUCGUAAUUGGAAUGAGUACAAUCUAAAUCCCUUAACGAGGAACAAUUGGAGGGCAAGUCUGGUGCCAGCAGCCGCGGUAAUUCCAGCUCCAAUAGCGUAUAUUAAAGUUGUUGCCGUUAAAAAGCUCGUAGUUGAACCUUGGACCUGGCUGAUCUGUCCUCCUAAUCGAGCGCACGGAUUCGGCCGGGUCUUUCCUUUUGGGGAGCCCUAUGCCCUUCACUGGGUGUAG
rnacentral:rRNA from 1 species